UACAGAGGUCUCAAGCGUUGUUCGGAAUCACUGGGCGUAAAGGGCGCGUAGGCGGCCGUUCAAGUCGGGGGUGAAAGCCUGUGGCUCAACCACAGAAUUGCCUUCGAUACUGGACGGCUCGAGACCGGAAGAGGUCAGUGGAACUGCGAGUGUAGAGGUGAAAUUCGUAGAUAUUCGCAAGAACACCAGUGGCGAAGGCGGCUGACUGGUCCGGUUCUGACGCUGAGGCGCGAAAGCGUGGGGAGCAAACAGG
rnacentral:rRNA from 1 species